AUUGAACGCUGGCGGCAUGCCUUACACAUGCAAGUCGAACGGUAACAGGUCUUCGGAUGCUGACGAGUGGCGAACGGGUGAGUAAUACAUCGGAACGUGCCUAGUAGUGGGUGAUAACUACUCGAAAGAGUGGCUAAUACCGCAUGAGAUCUACGGAUGAAAGCAGGGGAUCGCAAGACCUUGUGCUACUAGAGCGGCCGAUGGCAGAUUAGGUAGUUGGUGGGAUAAAAGCUUACCAAGCCGACGAUCUGUAGCUGGUCUGAGAGGACGAUCAGCCAGACUGGGACUGAGACACGGCCCAGACUCCUACGGGAGGCAGCAGUGGGGAAUUUUGGACAAUGGGCGAAAGCCUGAUCCAGCAAUGCCGCGUGCAGGAUGAAGGCCUUCGGGUUGUAAACUGCUUUUGUACGGAACGAAAAGCCCCGGGUUAAUACCCUGGGGUCAUGACGGUACCGUAAGAAUAAGCACCGGCUAACUACGUGCCAGCAGCCGCAGUAA
rnacentral:rRNA from 1 species